rnacentral:rRNA from 1 species
AGCGAACGUUGGCGGCAGGCCUAACACAUGCAAGUCGAACGAACCCUUCGGGGUUAGUGGCGGACGGGUGAGUAACACGUGGGAACGUGCCUUUAGGUUCGGAAUAACUCAGGGAAACUUGUGCUAAUACCGAAUGUGCCCUUCGGGGGAAAGAUUUAUCGCCUUUAGAGCGGCCCGCGUCUGAUUAGCUAGUUGGUGAGGUAAUGGCUCGCCAAGGCUACGAUCAGUAGCUGGUCUGAGAGGAUGACCAGCCACAUUGGGACUGAGACACGGCCCAAACUCCUACGGGAGGCAGCAGUGGGGAAUCUUGCGCAAUGGGCGAAAGCCUGACGCAGCCAUGCCGCGUGGAUGAUGAAGGUCUUAGGAUUGUAAAAUCCUUUCACCGGUGAAGAUAAUGACUGUAGCCGGAGAAGAAGCCCCGGCUAACUUCGUGCCAGCAGCCGCGGUAAUAC